AGAGUUUGAUCCUGGCUCAGAUUGAACGCUGGCGGCAUGCCUUACACAUGCAAGUCGAACGGCAGCACGGGAGCUUGCUCCUGGUGGCGAGUGGCGAACGGGUGAGUAAUAUAUCGGAACGUACCCUAGAGUGGGGGAUAACGUAGCGAAAGUUACGCUAAUACCGCAUACGAUCUACGGAUGAAAGUGGGGGAUCGCAAGACCUCAUGCUCAUGGAGCGGCCGAUAUCUGAUUAGCUAGUUGGUGGGGUAAAAGCUCACCAAGGCGACGAUCAGUAGCUGGUCUGAGAGGACGACCAGCCACACUGGAACUGAGACACGGUCCAGACUCCUACGGGAGGCAGCAGUGGGGAAUUUUGGACAAUGGGCGCAAGCCUGAUCCAGCAAUGCCGCGUGAGUGAAGAAGGCCUUCGGGUUGUAAAGCUCUUUUGUCAGGGAAGAAACGGUUCGGGCUAAUAUCCUGGGCUAAUGACGGUACCUGAAGAAUAAGCACCGGCUAACUACGUGCCAGCAGCCGCGGUAAUACGUAGGGUGCAAGCGUUAAUCGGAAUUACUGGGCGUAAAGCGUGCGCAGGCGGUUGUGCAAGACAGAUGUGAAAUCCCCGGGCUCAACCUGGGAAUUGCAUUUGUGACUGCACGGCUAGAGUGUGUCAGAGGGGGGUAGAAUUCCACGUGUAGCAGUGAAAUGCGUAGAGAUGUGGAGGAAUACCGAUGGCGAAGGCAGCCCCCUGGGAUAACACUGACGCUCAUGCACGAAAGCGUGGGGAGCAAACAGGAUUAGAUACCCUGGUAGUCCACGCCCUAAACGAUGUCUACUAGUUGUCGGGUCUUAAUUGACUUGGUAACGCAGCUAACGCGUGAAGUAGACCGCCUGGGGAGUACAGUCGCAAGAUUAAAACUCAAAGGAAUUGACGGGGACCCGCACAAGCGGUGGAUGAUGUGGAUUAAUUCGAUGCAACGCGAAAAACCUUACCUACCCUUGACAUGUCUGGAAUCCUUGAGAGAUCAGGGAGUGCUCGAAAGAGAAUCAGAACACAGGUGCUGCAUGGCUGUCGUCAGCUCGUGUCGUGAGAUGUUGGGUUAAGUCCCGCAACGAGCGCAACCCUUGUCAUUAGUUGCUACGAAAGGGCACUCUAAUGAGACUGCCGGUGACAAACCGGAGGAAGGUGGGGAUGACGUCAAGUCCUCAUGGCCCUUAUGGGUAGGGCUUCACACGUCAUACAAUGGUACAUACAGAGGGCCGCCAACCCGCGAGGGGGAGCUAAUCCCAGAAAGUGUAUCGUAGUCCGGAUUGUAGUCUGCAACUCGACUACAUGAAGUUGGAAUCGCUAGUAAUCGCGGAUCAGCAUGUCGCGGUGAAUACGUUCCCGGGUCUUGUAUACACCGCCCGUCACACCAUGGGAGCGGGUUUCACCAGAAGUGGGUAGCCUAACCGCAAGGAGGGCGCUCACCA
rnacentral:rRNA from 1 species